rnacentral:misc_RNA from 1 species
GAACGCACCUUGCACCCUUUGGUAUUCCGAAGGGUAUGCCUGUUUGAGUGUCAUUAAAUUCUCAACUCAAAAGAGUUUUGUGCUUUUUUGAAUCUUGGACUAUGGAAGCUUGCUGGUAUCGCUAUCAGCUCUUCUUAAAUGCAUUAGCGGAACUGUGAAGGACCAGCUUUGGUUUGAUAGUCCUAUCUAUGCCGUCGCUGUGGACUUGUGUGUUCAGCUUCUAAUUGUCUUCGGACUGCCUUCUAGGCAUACACUUUAAGCUUGACCUCAAAUCAGGUAGGACUACCCGCUGAACUUA